UGAGGAACAUGACCUUCGGCGGGGGAUAGCCGGCCCAACGGCCGGGUAAUACCGCGUACGACCACAUGGGGACAUCCCUGAGUGGUGAAAGCAGCAAUGCGCCGAUAGAGUGCCUCGCGGCCUAUCAGCUAGUUGGUGAGGUAACGGCUCACCAAGGCGACGACGGGUANCUGGUCUGAGAGGAUGGCCAGCCACAGUUGGGACUGAGACGACGGCCCAGACCUGUACCGGGGAGG
rnacentral:rRNA from 1 species